UGGCUGGCAGGCAGGGCCCUCUGCCUUUCCAGGCUUCUCGGCUGCUCCUGGCCAUCCGCCCAGUCCUGGCCCAGCUCCACCAGGCCUUCUCCAAUCCUGUGUCUGCCAUUCUUGCCCCCUCCUGGGGGUAACUGGCCACUCCUGUGCCACUAACCGCCCUGCCCUGCCACCUCCUAGGCCUCAACUCUGAGUCAUCUGGGCUCAAACAGGGCUGUCUGCUCAGUAACCACAUGGACCUAGAGAGGAAGGAGAGCCAGCAGAGGCAGGGCUGGCCAAAGUCACUCCUAGGGUACAGUGUGUGCUUGAGCAGAAAGGCCAUUGAAUCUGGCAUCAGAAGACAGAGUUUCCAGGGUCACCUCUGCCACCAGCUAACAGGGUAACUAUGGACAAGCCACCGCCCUCUCUGGACCUGCCUCCUCUUCUGUAAAAUGAGAGGAUUGGACUGGGAGCUGCAGGAGGGCUUUCAAUUCCAGGCUUUGGGGACUAAACUUGGGCACAGAGGACAGCAAGACAGAAGCCAUCUUCUUCAAAGGACAAAGUGGCCCUCAAAAUUUCAAGUGAUUUUCUUCUCACCAGGGCACCUGGAGCAGCCUUUAAAGGUUCUUGAGAGAUAAAUGAAAUGAAGGUAAUGCACCAAAGUAAAGAGUUUUGAGGCUGAAUUUUGCCAUGAUUUUAGGGUCUGUUAUAUUAGGAUUUUCAUAAAAGAAAUUAUCCAGAGGAAAUAAAAGUUCCUCACUCUACUCUUAGCCUACACAUGUAAAUCUGGGAGGUGGAGCUGGGUAUCAGUAACUCAUGGUUGAAUGCAGAGGCCAUCCCAAGAGGCAGUAGAGUGGGCGUGACAAUGGAAGACUAUAUAACCCUGACAAGGGUCUCAGGACACCUGCCUUCUCCCAUGUGAUGGAUGAGUCUCAAUCAAGGCUGCUAUCUGACCCCCUUCAUGAAGCAUUCAGAAGUGGAUGGAAUUGGCAGUGUUUUUCCUGAUUCCACAGGAUUCCAGCAUGAACCUUGUAGGAGAUGAAGCUCUUGGAGCAUGCACAACCUGACCUCCUGCCCGGGGCAGGCCCUGCUGUGAGACGGAGCUGCACGGAGUGGGGAGUGGAGCCUGUAACUCGGAGUCAGAAGCAAGAGCUCAACCAUCUUGUCCACACCGACUCCCAGCACCUGCACUCAAGACAUCCUUGUUAAAGUGGUGAAUGAGUGAAAUCCUGUCUGACAUCUCUAGAGCCACAGAAACAGCUUCCUCCUGGUGGUCCAUGGGGAGUCCGUUUAUUGCUGUAACUGGUGCUGCUCCAAGCUAUGGUGGGUCAAUAGGCUGGUGGUCUCCAGUGAUACUCAGUCCCAGGAUCCAUGCUCUUCUGUGUCCCUCACAUAUAAACUCAGGGUGUGGCCACGGGACUUGCUCUGGCCAACAGGACAUGAGCAAGUGUGCCGGGCGCAGAGCCAUGAUAAGUCCUGAAUGCUGGGGUCUGUCCUCUUGGGACACUGUCUCUCGAGGUCCUAGGGUACACUGCAAAGAGGUCCAGCCACCAAGAUGAAAAAACCACACAGAGGACCAAGGGAGCUGGCCAGGUGCCCCGUUCCAGCCAUUCCAGCUGAAGUGCUAGAAAUGUGAGUGAAGACCUCCCAGCCCCAGGAGGUGACAGGUAGGGCAGGAGAACCACCGAGCUGAGCCCAGCCCAGCGGGCAGACUGAUGGCAAAUCCAAAACCAUUUUUAAAUAAAUUUGACCAGCUUGCUUCGGCAAUAAGUAGCUGAAACACUA